GAUGAACGCUGGCGGCGUGCUUAACACAUGCAAGUCGAACGGAAAGGCUCCUGCUUGCAGGGGUACUCGAGUGGCGAACGGGUGAGUAACACGUGGGUGAUCUGCCCUGCACUUCGGGAUAAGCCUGGGAAACUGGGUCUAAUACCGGAUAGGACCACAUUUUGGUUGGUGUGGUGGAAAGUUUUUCGGUGUGGGAUGAGCUCGCGGCCUAUCAGCUUGUUGGUGGGGUAAUGGCCUACCAAGGCGUCGACGGGUAGCCGGCCUGAGAGGGUGUACGGCCACAUUGGGACUGAGAUACGGCCCGGCCUACUACGGGAGGCAGGGGUGGGGAGUGUUGCACAAUGGGCGCAAGCCUGGUGCAGCGACGCCGCGUGGGGGAUGACGGCCUUCGGGUUGUAAACUACUUUCGCUAGGGACGAAGCGCAAGUGACGGUACCUGGAGAAGAAGCACCGGCUAACUACGUG
rnacentral:rRNA from 1 species